GUAACAACUCACCUGCCGAAUGAAUUAGGCCCGAAAAUUGAUGGCGCUCCAGCGUGCGACGGAUACUCGACCAUUGCAGCGACAGUUUGGCUGGAAUGAGUAGGAGGGCGUGGGCGUCUUGCUGAAGCUUUGGGCGUGAGCCUGAGUCGAAAGGCGUCUAGCGCAGAUCUUGGUGGUAGUAGCAAUUAUUCAAAUGAGAACUUUGAAGGCCGACGUGGAGAAGGUUUCCAUGAGAACAGCAAUUGGUCAUGGGUGACUCGAUCCUAAGACAUAGGGUAACCCCUUCAUACACGUGAGAUCUUGUAUCUCCGAUGUCAAAAGGGAAUCAGGUUAAUAUUCCUGAAGUGGAACAUGGAUCAGCGGUAACGCAAACAAGCCUGGAGACGUCAGCAUGAACUCCUGGAAGAGUUAUCUUUUCUUUUUAACUGAUCAGUAGCCUUGAAAUUGGAUUAUCCAGAGAUAAGGCCGCAAAUCAGGAAGAGCACUUCACCCUAUGAAGUGUCAGGUGCGUUCGUGAUGACCCGUGAAAAUCCAGGUGAGGAUGAUUUCAUGUCCAAUCGUACCAAUAACCGCAUCAGGUCUCCAAGGUUA
rnacentral:rRNA from 1 species